rnacentral:rRNA from 1 species
CACGUAGGGUGCGAGCGUUUGUCCGGAAUUAUUGGGCGUAAAGAGCUCGUAGGCGGUGUGUCGCGUCGGCCGUGAAAACCUGGGGCUCAACUCUGGGCUUGCGGUCGAUACGGGCAUCACUGGAGUUCGGCAGGGGAGACUGGAAUUCCUGGUGUAGCGGUGAAAUGCGCAGAUAUCAGGAGGAACACCGGUGGCGAAGGCGGGUCUCUGGGCCGUAACUGACGCUGAGGAGCGAAAGCAUGGGGAGCGAACAG